rnacentral:rRNA from 1 species
AUUGAACGCUGGCGGCAUGGCUAAAACAUGCAAGUCGAACGCGAAAGGGAGCAAUCCCAAGUAGAGUGGCGAAAGGGCGAGGAAUAAAUUUCUACGUACCCUGAGGUCGGGGAUACCUCGGAGAAAUCCGAAUCAAUACCCGAUGUGGUCCGAAAGGAUCAAAGGCUUGCUGCCUCAGGAGCGGGGAAUUUCCUAUCAGGUAGUUGGUGGGGUAAUGGCCUACCAAGCCUUAGACGGGUAGCGGGUGUGAGAGCACGGCCCGCCGCAUCGAGACUGAGACACUGCUCGGACUCCUACGGGAGGCUGCAGUAACGAAUCUUCCGCAAUGCGCGAAAGCGUGACGGGGCAAUGCCGCGUGCAGGAUGAAGCCCUUCGGGGUGUAAACUGCUGUCAGGGGGCAGGAAUACAAUGACCAUACCCAAAGGAAGCACCGGCUAACUCUGUGCCAGCAGCCGCGGUAAUACAGAGGGUGCGAGCGUUAAUCGGAAUCACUGGGCUUAAAGCGUUCGUAGGCGGAUCUGUAGGCGCGUUGUGAAAGCCCUCGGCUCAACCGGGGAACUGCUUCGCGAACCACAGAUCUUGAGUCAAGUAGGGGCGGUCGGAACGAUAGGUGGAGCGGUGAAAUGCGUAGAUAUCUAUCGGAACGCCGACGGUGAAGACAGGCCGCUGGGCUUGUACUGACGCUGAGGAACGAAAGCGUGGGGAGCAAACGGGAUUAGAUACCCCGGUAGUCCACGCUGUAAACGAUGCGCACUAGGUCGGGGAGGCUUGACGCCCUCCUGGCCGCAGCAAAAGUGAUUAGUGCGCCGCCUGGGGAGUACGGUCGCAAGGCUAAAACUCAAAGGAAUUGACGGGGGCUCACACAAGCGGUGGAGCAUGUGGCUUAAUUCGAAGCAACGCGAAGAACCUUAUCCUAGGCUUGACAUGCACGUAUCAACUUCCUGAAAGGGAAGCCACACCCGCAAGGGCGGAACGUGCACAGGUGCUGCAUGGCUGUCGUCAGCUCGUGCUGUGAAGUGUCGGGUUAAGUCCCUCAACGAGCGAAACCCCUGUCGUUAGUUGCUAACGCGUUAUGGCGAGGACUCUAGCGAGACUGCCGGUGUCAAACCGGAGGAAGGUGGGGAUGACGUCAAGUCCUCAUGGCCUUUAUGCCUAGGGCUGCACACGUGCUACAAUGGCGGAUACAGAACGAUGCAAGACCGCAAGGUGGAGCAAAUCGCAUAAAGUCCGCCCCAGUUCGGAUUGGAGGCUGCAACCCGCCUCCAUGAAGUCGGAAUCGCUAGUAAUCGCGGAUCAGCUACGCCGCGGUGAAUAUGUUCCUGAGCCUUGUACACACCGCCCGUCAAGUCAUGGGAGCUGGCAGUGCCCAAAGUCGCCUCGUUUCAGGGGUGCCCACGGCAAGGCUGGUGACUGGGACU